GUGCCAGCAGCCGCGGUAAUACGUAGGCAGCGAGCGUUGUUCGGAGUUACUGGGCGUAAGGAGUGCGUAGGCGGUUUUCUAAGUUUGGUGUGAAAUCUCCCGGCUUAACUGGGAGGGUGCGCCGAAAACUGGAAGGCUUGAGUAUGGGAGAGGUAAGCGGAAUUCCUGGUGUAGCGGUGAAAUGCGUAGAUAUCAGGAGGAACACCUGCGGUGUAGACGGCUUACUGGACCAUAACUGACGCUGAGGCACGAAAGCGUGGGUAGCAAACAGGAUUAGAAACCCCGGUAGUCC
rnacentral:rRNA from 1 species